rnacentral:lncRNA from 1 species
GUGAACGACCACUACCCAGAUUGCUUCUCGGCAUUGUCGAGUACUUUUUUUUAGGACAACCUUUCUCAAAAUAGCUGUAUUAAUAUGCGGUACCUAAUUUUUUUUUUUUUAAUUAUAUUUAAACUUUUUACUUUUGAAAGCCUUCUAACAAAUAAAUUUUCUUUUUCAGAGGGCACAGAUCAUUAUCACAUAACAUACCCAGAACGUGUUGAUGGAAGCCGAGACAAGAGAGAUCUUUCAACUUUUGAUAAGAUUGCCAGCUGGCUUUCUGAAAAACCUGAAGAAUAACUUCUGUGUUCAUCCACAUGGGGAAUGGCCUGGCGAAGGUGUCAGUUUGCUCUACUGACCGGGAUGUUCCAAAGACAGGCUCAAGCUUAGCUUCUUCAAUCUCGAUUCUCCGAGAACUGCCUGAUUGUCAACAAAGAAAUGCGGAGUUCGAUGUUCAAGGAAAGGGUUAUAUUAUAACCAUGAUCAGGAUUUCAUAAGAAAUUCAUUUGCUUUAACCUGGAUGAAAAAAAAAAUUAAAAAAAUAAUAGAAGUUCAUGUCAAUAUUUUGUAUGUUUGAACAUCAUUUUCAGCUGAAACCCGCUAAACUUUGAAUCUUAAUUAUAGAGCGUUUUCAAACGACGUCCAGACAGCCGCGUUGGUGUUUUCAAACAUACGUGGUUUACCAUUUACACGGAGAAACCGGUUUGUCGACGGUUGUGCGAAUGGUAAGUAAAAAUCCCAAGCGCUACGCCCUCGGGAAAGAGGGGUGCUUGACACUCGUUAAUGUAAACUGUUACUACAUGUAUGUAACACGUAGUAACAGUCGGCGCAAAACCCACUGAAACGCUCAAAUUCAUCAUUUUGAGCCACAGAAACGACAAUGCACAACAACUGAGGUAGGUCUACAUUUAUUUUGAGCUUUAUGCAUUGGCAGAUAAGAGUCCUUCUUGAUAUUCAACUGAAUUGUUGGUUGGAUAGAGGAAAUUACACGUUGCUCGUUAUCCGAAGUUGUCGACAUUUAGGAACAAUAGAAUUUGAGUAAACGGAAGCUCGAGUAAACGGAAGAAUCUUAACAUAAACAUCGGUCUCAGGAACACCAGGAAAGCCCCUAUAUGAAAUGCUUAGGAAAAAUUUUCUGAUGAAAACAUUUUCAAAAUAGUAAGGUAUUACUUGAAGAUGUAAACAAAAAAUCGUGGUCUUGGAUCAUCGCAUUUCACACUAACCCUAUUUAAUGUAAAGUCGUUCAGGUUAGGUUAUAGACCUCUGUAUUUGUUGUCAAUUCCCUGUUUUAUUUUCUAAGCAUCUUCGCUUUUAAUUUCAUUUAAAUACAAAGAAUAAAAAUCAGAUUCUAAAAACGAUCUAAGCUAAGUUGAGCAGUGGUAAGCAAGCCACCGACUCGAACUUGGCAAAAAAUUGGAAAACUCUCCAAACAAAAACCACCGAGUAUCGACCUUUGGUUUCUGGGGAUAAUGUUAAAUUAGCGCCUUGUAUGGAAGGAGCCAUACAAUUGAUUUGUAACAAAGAAACAAUGUGGACAUGUGUUUACAAGUGCAAUAGAAUCAUGACUUAGGCCAAGUUCGGACAAGCCUCCCACCCGACGCGUAAACGCUUACCCUUUGAUUCACUAUUUGUUGUUUUGACUGGCAAGAUAACUCUUUCGUAUAUUUCAUAUACCACCUAUAAAAAGUGUUGUCCUUUAACAUACCUUAAGUCAGCACAAGGCAUCCCUUUUUCAGAAAGUUGCCACACCUUUUGCGGGAAGAGCCUCCCCGUGUAUUACAGGGAGUUGUUCUUGAGGGCUGGGGGCGUGGAGCAAAGUUAAUAUCUUUUCCAUCGCAUCACAACGUGGUUACCAUAGACUGAAUUUUGACAAAGAUUUCUGUUGGCUUGCUAUUGGCCUUCCAGUUAAUAACGGUGUCAUCCUGUUAAAUCCGAUUGCCAAUCGACUUUGUGGCGCCUACUCCACUCUGUGGCGGAGGCGCCAGUUGUUCUCAUUAUAAUGCGGGUAGAUGCCUCCAAAUUCAGGAGCCUAACUACUUCUACUUGACGAUAUGUUAGCAAACAAACAAAAGCAAAGAAACGUGUAUUCCGACAAAUGAAAGUCAGAUCAAGAGCUGUCGAGUGUUGAUCCGAAUGACUUGAAAGGUCAAAGAGUCGCUCAAGUGACCUGUUUUGAAAAUAUUCUCAGAAUUCGCCGUUUUAUUUACCCCAUUUUUUUUUUGCGCCCGAUGUGUAGAUGUAAUCCCCGGGGUGUAGUCUCGCUGGGUGAGACCAUAUACCAGAGUGCUUUUUUGAGCCUUGAAUUUCGUCUAAAUCCAAAGAAGGCGACACGGGUAAACAUUGGGUCUGCGUGACCCUCGUAAUUGUAGCGCAAAUUACGCGUAAAAAACCUUUUCUUGAACAUGUUUUACAACACGGCUUUUCAAUUGCCCAAGUUGAAUUUCUUUUAUUGUAAAGCGAUAACUGGGCUUUGCAAAAAUGUAUUUUUCAUUUAAAAUUUCGUUGCACCAAGAAAAAUUGCCCACAAAAAUGCCCUAUUUUAUGUUUUUCCAAAGUAAAAAAACUAGCAAUCUUCCGGCGCUUCUAACCCGAAGUGAAAAAGCACUUCUUGCCAAUAAUUAUUAAAUAUUAAUUAUCAGUUCGAGGGCCGUUCUGCAAGUUACAGACCGAACUUUUCCCCGUCGAUUUCUCGCCCAAGCGCUGAGCGCGCGGGUCAUAAGUCGGAGGGAAGAAAAAAAACGACGAUCUGUAACUAACAGUACAGACCGAUAAGACGAGGCUAGUAAAUUAUUUGUUAUAUCUCUACUGAGUCUCUGCCGCGUUCGGGAACGAUGCCUAUUCACGCGGAACGGCUUCAAAAUUCUGACGCACGUCAAAAU